GACGAACGCUGGCGGCGUGCUUAACACAUGCAAGUCGAACGGAAAGGCCCUGCUUGCAGGGUACUCGAGUGGCGAACGGGUGAGUAACACGUGGGUGAUCUGCCCUGCACUUCGGGAUAAGCCUGGGAAACUGGGUCUAAUACCGGAUAGGAGCCAUUUUUAGUGUGAUGGUUGGAAAGUUUUUUCGGUGUAGGAUGAGCUCGCGGCCUAUCAGCUUGUUGGUGGGGUAAUGGCCUACCAAGGCGGCGACGGGUAGCCGGCCUGAGAGGGUGGACGGCCACAUUGGGACUGAGAUACGGCCCAGACUCUUACGGGAGGCAGCAGGGGGGAAUAUUGCACAAUGGGGGCAAGCCUGAUGCAGCGACGCCGCGUGGGGGAUGACGGCCUUCGGGUUGUAAACUCCUUUCGCUAGGGACGAAGCUUUUUGUGACGGUACCUAGAUAAGAAGCACCGGCUAACUACGUG
rnacentral:rRNA from 1 species